rnacentral:rRNA from 1 species
GUGAACGCUGGCGGCAUGCCUAACACAUGCAAGUCGAACGGCAGCACAGCAGUAGCAAUACUGUGGGUGGCGAGUGGCGGACGGGUGAGGAAUACAUCGGAAUCUGCCCGGUUGUGGGGGAUAACGUAGGGAAACUUACGCUAAUACCGCAUACGAUCGAGAGAUGAAAGCGGGGGACCGUAAGGCCUCGCGCAGUCGGAUGAGCCGAUGUCGGAUUAGCUAGUUGGCGGGGUAAAGGCCCACCAAGGCGACGAUCCGUAGCUGGUCUGAGAGGAUGAUCAGCCACACUGGGACUGAGACACGGCCCAGACUCCUACGGGAGGCAGCAGUGGGGAAUAUUGGACAAUGGGGGCAACCCUGAUCCAGCAAUGCCGCGUGUGUGAAGAAGGCCUUCGGGUUGUAAAGCACUUUUAUCUGGAACGAAACACGCAGGGUGAAUAUCCCUGCGGACUGACGGUACCAGAGGAAUAAGCACCGGCUAACUUCGUGCCAGCAGCCGCGGUAAUACGAAGGGUGCAAGCGUUACUCGGAAUUACUGGGCGUAAAGCGUGCGUAGGUGGUUUCUUAAGUCUGCUGUGAAAGCCCCGGGCUCAACCUGGGAAUUGCAGUGGAUACUGGGGAGCUAGAGUGCGGUAGAGGGUAGUGGAAUUCCCGGUGUAGCGGUGAAAUGCGUAGAGAUCGGGAGGAACACCAGUGGCGANNNCGGCUACCUGGACCAGCACUGACACUG